rnacentral:rRNA from 1 species
CACACACUGCACGGUAGAUAGCGUGGUCCUUAAAAAGCCUCUGUUGGUGUUCAGCAGGUAGAUGAAACAUUCGGCGAAAGUAUGCUGGUUGCACUUGAAUGGCCGCUAGUACGUCAUCAUGAGAGUUGAAGCUAACCAAGUCUUUCUCCAGAUAUUCAUCGAUGAUAUGUUGAAGUUCGGCAGGGGUGACCUGCUCCGCUUUGAUAGGCAGUUUCCGUGCAUCUUGAAGUGCACGGACCAUCUUGGCGUCGUGUACAAGAAGAGUAGAAUCAGCCAUGAAUCCAGAAGUGGGUUCAGGCGUAUCAGUGUCCUCAUCUUGUACCGAAGGAUAGAGAUCGACGUCCGGUGGAAGCGAAGCAUCAAAACCAUCAUCCUGAAGUACCUCGUACAUGUUUGGCAUCACUGGGAAUGCAUAUACAAAGGCAUGAGGAUCGGACUCAUCGACACGAAGUUCACAAGGCUGGGCAUUUUCCGGCGCAAUAUAUUUAGGGCCUUCACGAUUGAUGACGCCGUAUUGGGAGUGUUGAACCAGUUUCCAAGUAGGCUCGUCUAUGUUUACUGUACCCAAGAUGAGGCGUUGCGGAUGGUGAGAGCCAGAGCGGUGUGGAUACGUCGAAGCAAGUGUCAAAUCCGAUGGAUUGGAAUUCACCUGGGACGAAGGUUCGGGAGGAGCAUCCUGAGUUGAGUCGGGUACAUCUGGUCGGGCGGCUAUAGCAAGGUUACUUUCCAUGCUGUCGUCAGAAACAUCCGACGGCCGGCGUGGGGGUGGGCGAAGGGAUGGAGGCUUGACUUGAUUAUACCGAAGUAGCCGGUGUUGGACGAAACAAGGUUUCUCUCCUUCUACAAAGGUAAUCUCGCGUAGAGGUUCUCCAUUCGGUUCAAAAAGACGAUCCGGGCAAGCGACCGAGUUGAAGUACACCGUACGAGCCCGAGACUUCAGUUCGCCUUGAACCUGCGUAGGUGUAAUUAGAAUAGGUGUAGCACCACGUGAGACGAACCAGUCAUAGAUAGUUAAAUCUGGCACGUCUGCCGGCAAACGUUGAAGAUCCACAAAAUAUAGCUUGUCGUAACUUGAGUAUUUGCGGAUUGUAACCGUCGCGUCGCAGAUUUGGAGCUGAACACCACCAAGGCGGCGUAGCGCAUCAUCGGAAGUGCAAACAAACGAAAUUCCUUGAUGAGGAAUCCUAGUGAAGUCACGCAAAUGGGCUCUAGAUUGUCUCCACACUUCCGGCUGAUUAUCGGAAGCCAGUGAUUCUAGGAUCUCGUGGAUGUUGUGCUCAGCUGUCAGACGGCCGGCAGGUAUCCACAUGCGCGUACAUAGCUCAGGCUCGACUGGCGUAGGAAGUGGCGCAAGGGCAGCAAACCGACGAUCGACGUCCGUUGCUUGGGCGUCAUGGAGUCGUUGAAGGCUGGCACGGAAGAGAGAGUCAUCGGGCACCGAACGUGGUGGCGGGCGUGGCGCCGAACGUUGCGCGGACGGCUGUCGCGCCGCCGGUCGCGACGGGGUUGGGCUAGUGCGGGAGUUAGAGACCAUUAGGGUCAGAAUUAGUAUAGUAGGUAAGCUGAUACUGCGUCUCUAGUGUCGUAUGACACCCAAGCAAACACUAGUCAAAAGGUACCUCAAUACCCGGACACGGUGUAAGUGCAGCCUACGCAGGCAAUCGAAAGUAGUGUUCCUAGUCCGAUCAGCUCUAAUCGAACGUAGGUUUUCAGUGAUCAAAAGCAAGGUCGGCCUAGCGCUCUUGCAAGAGAUCACACCACCACUUAGGAAGCUUAGUAGUUUAGGCAAACCUAGUCAAUCUCCUUGCGGAAAAGACUUAGCGCACGCUCUGGCACACUCAGCAGGGAUGAGCCAACAGUCAAAGACCGAAGGCGCCUAACUGUCUGGGUGGUAGAGGAUCGGUUUAACUCCGCGUCCUAGUUGGCAACGACAAACAGCACUCCGCGAAGAGUAAGAUGUCGGGGCUUGAGCAGCGAAGACAGCACUUCGAGGAAGGCUGACGGCUACUGUGAAGGCGGCGGUGUCGUGGGGCGGCGGUAACACUCUGUGAUGAGUGGAACGGCGGUAGCUGGUCGGCGGUGUGCAGACGGGGCGAGUUCGAGAACGAUGUGUGCUCGAGGUGGAAAAAUCCGGAAUGGGGGAGUUUGGCUGGGGCGGCACAUCUGUUAAAUGAUAACACAGGUGUCCUAAGGUGAGCUCAAUGAGAACAGAAAUCUCAUGUAGAACAAAAGGGUAAAAGCUCACUUGAUUUUGAUUUUCAGUAUGAAUACAAACCGUGAAAGCGUGGCCUAUCGAUCCUUUAGUACUUUCGAAUUUUAAGCUAGAGGUGUCAGAAAAGUUACCACAGGGAUAACUGGCUUGUGGCAGCCAAGCGUCCAUAGCGACGUUGCUUUUUGAUUCUUCGAUGUCGGCUCUUCCUAUCAUUGCGAAGUAGAACUCGCCAAUUGUUGGAUUGUUCACCCACUAAUAGGGAACGUGAGCUGGGUUUAGACCGUCGUGAGACAGGUUAGUUUUACCCUACUGAUGAGUUCGUUGUCUAAACAGUAAUCCAACCCAGUACGAGAGGAACCGUUGGUUCAGAUAAUUGGUAACUGCGGUUAGCUGAAAAGCUAGUGCCGCCAAGCUACCAUCUGUCGGAUUAUGGCUGAACGCCUCUAAGUCAGAAUCCAUGCUGGAAUAGACGAUAAUCACCUUUCCUGAUGUAACGCGAAUAGCGAUAGGUGUCCUUUGGACACCCAACAUCAUACAAUUGCAACGAAACUCGCUAUCUGUCAAAUAUCGAUAGUGGGGAGUAGGCUGAUUUGUAAUUUCAAAUAUUGGGAAAGAUAAAUCC